AUGACCUUAAAAGAAGAAGAAAAAGGAAGAAAUGCUGAUAUGUUGCCUAAAAAAGAUAGUGAACAGUUAAAAAGAAAAGAAAAGGAAUGUGGGAAAGAAGUUGAAACAGCAACUCAGAGUCUGAAAUCACUGGUCACAGAAUUGAGGACAUUAGGAAAGAAUUUGGAUCAGGUUGUGCAGAAGCAAAGCGAUACCCACAAGCAACUUUCUGAAGAGCAGAAUGCCAGAAUAUUACAAGAUGAGAUUCUGACCAGUAAGUAAAAGGAGGUCGAAGGGGCUCAAAAGAAAAUGAAUUCUGAGGUAUUUUCUUUCGUCAUUUUCAAAUAUGUUUUUGUAUGUGUAUAUAUUUGAAAAAACAACUCUAUGUACCUUGGAAAAUAUAAAGGAAUUUUAAAUUAUAUACAUACACACACACACACACACACACACACACACACAUAUCCUAUGUGUUUGUGUAUCUAUAUAUAGAAUAUGCACGUGUGUGUGUGUGUGUGUGUGUGUGUAGGAUAAAGCCAUAUUCUUAAUUCAGCUCCAUUAGUCUGCAGCAGUCAAGUAGUGACAUUCACAAUGGCCUCAAUCCAAAGAAGAAACAUUUGAUAUUUUUUAUAAGAAUUGAUGAUCUUUCCAUAAUCUCAAAAUUUUUGGUACUAACAACAGAUGUUCUAGUUUUCAGACAUUGUUUUAUCUUCUCAAAAUAUUAAUGGAGAAGUCAGUUGAUUAUUUUCACUGAUAGAUAAGGAGGAAAUGUAUAGCCAGUUUAGAGGCCAUAUUGUGGAUGUCAUUCUUCUUACUUUUGAAGAACUUAAAAGUUUUCUCCAAGUAGUAUCUAAUUUCAAUGCAAAGGGCUUUGAAAACAAUGACGUAGAAUAAUAUACAUUUAGUGAUAAUUUAUUGGUAAGUGUUUUGUUUCUAGAAAAAUAUUUCCGUGUAUUUCCCCCUUUUUCACACUUAUUACUGUUUCAAACAUUAUAAAGAGGAAAUAAAAGUUAUUACAAUAGCAAAUAAUCUCAUGAUUUUUUAAGAAGAUCUCUAUAAAUUUUACCAUUGGUAUUUUUAAAUAAGAGGCUUCUUUUGUAUUUAUAUAUUUACACCACAGAAGUAACUGCAAUUUGAUGGAGGAGGACUAGAAGUAGAAUCAGAAGACCUAGGGAAAAUCCUGCAUCUUGCAUAUAUUUCAAUCUCUCCUCUUCAGAAUUGCGACCUUAAAUGAGUUCAGUAAUGUAUGUAAAAGUGCAAUGCUUAGAUGUAGAAAUGUAAAAUGUAGAAAUGUACAAUGCUUAGAUUUAACAUUUAUGAAUAAGUGUAAUCUUUAUAACUUACAAUAAAAUUGUUAGAAAAGUAGAAUAUCUAUAGAACAUUUUCAGGAAAAAGGAACUUAGAGAACUUUGAGAAAUUUCUUCAGUCCAAAUAAAUGCAGAACUAAGAGUCUUACAACGGGGUGGUGUAUAGGUUAGAUAUCAGAUUUUAAAAUUUUUAAAUUUUAAAAAUGUAGUCAAAUGUAUCAAUCUCAUAUUUUAUGCUGCUGGGUUUUUUGUAAUUCAGAGAAAGGCUUUGUCAAUUCUGAGAGUCUUAAAAAUCCUCUAGUGGUUUAUUUUUUACUUCUAUUGAUUCAUUGUCUUCAAAUAGAUUUUUUUAACUUUUGGGAAUUUACACUCUGAGGUUUGAAAUUUUGAUUUAACAUUUUUUCCAGUUAAAUAUCCACUUAUGGGAAUCCUUUCAUUGUACAAAUAUACAGGUUAUUCCUUAAUUUCAGAAGAAACCAUGAUAUGUCAUUCUGUUGAGUGCUAAGUUUCCUUUGUUUACUUAGAUUUCUCAAAGCCAUAAGAAAGAAAAAGACCUGUUGCAUAAAAAUAGUAUGUUGCAGGAAGAAAUUGCCGUGCUAAGACUGGAACUAGACAUAAUAAAACAUCAGAUCCAGCUGAAAGAAAAGAAAUAUUUGAAGAAUGUUGAAAGUGUGAAAGAAAAGAAUGACAACCUUCAAAAUAUGAUAAAACUGAAUGAGGAAACAUCAACAAAAAUAGUAUUUCAGUACAGUGGACAGCUUAGCAUUUUGACAGCUGAGAAUAAAACUCUCAGUUCUCAACUUGAGAAUGUAAAACACAACAUGGAAAGACUGGAAAUGGAAAUUCAGUCAUAUCGAUGCAGGCUGGCUGCUGCUGUACAUGAUUGUGAUCAAAGUCAGACAGCAUAAGAAAACCUAGAACUUGCUUUCCAGAGAACAGGACAUGAAUGGGUUCAUUUACAGGAGAAAAUGAAUUCUGAUAUGUCUAACCUAAAAGAUAACAGUUAGAUUCUUUCUGAAAAACUCUCUAAUGCUGACAGUAAAAUUAACAGCCUAAAAAUUAAGUUUCAUCAUGCAAGAGAAACACUCAGAGAAAAGACAUCAGUUUUAGAAUAUUUCCAAAGAGACCUAGGCCAAACACGGUGUCAAAAGAAAGAAAUUGAACGAAUGUAUAAAAAUGAACAAAGCAAAGUAAAUAAAUACGCCGAAGAAGCAGGAAUCUAUAGAGGACAGAUGUGCUCAACUACAAAGUGAAAAUAGGUUGCUUCGACAGCAACUGGAUGAUGCCCACAAGAAAGCUGACAAUCAAGAAAAGACAAUCAGUACUAUCCAAGACCAAAUCCAUGCUGUUGUAAAAAAAUCUAGCUGGGAGUGAAAUGCAGAGUCUUCUGCUAGAAGAGAAAAACAAAGACUUAAUCAAUGUAUGUAAUAAUUUGAAAGAAAGAAUAUAUCAAUGUGAAAAAGAGAAAGAAAAAAAAGUUGAUCUUACAGACGCAUGGGAAACCACAUCUUCAAAAUGUCUACAUCUGGAUGCAGAGAAUGAAGUUCUUCAACAGACAUUAAACAAUAUAGAAGAAAUAAGACAAUACAGAAUAUGAAAACAAUGCAGAAGAAAUAUGAAAACAAUACAGAAGAAAUGUGUAACACUGCAGAAGAACAAUAGGCACUUAGCACAGAACUAAUGACAUGCUAGCAGACGUCAGCACCCUGCUUCCUGUGGAGAAAAAGCAGACCAGAUCUUUAUUCACUCCUCAUAAUAGAAGGCCAGUCUUAGAAUCACCGUGCGCCAGAAAUCUUAAUGACAGUUUAGGUCUCAACAAAAGCCAUAUUCCAAGAGAAAACUUAAGGAUCUCUGCCUCAAGCUCACAACAUAGAGAACUGUUUGUUGAAGGUCUGCUGGAGUUUGCUGGAGGUCCACUCCAGACCCUGUUUGCCUGGGUAUCACCAGUGGAGGCUGCAGAACAGCAAAGAUUGCUGCCUGUUCCUUCCUCUGGAAGCUUCAUCCCAGAGGAGCACCCACCAGAUACCAGCCGGAGCUCUGUUGGGGUCUGUCGACCCCUGUUGGGAGGUGUCUUCCUAUUUGGCCAUCUU